UACAAGCUGCAUUGACCGUAUUGAUUAUAAAGUUAAACCUUUGAGCUGAAAUAGGGAGUUUAAAAACGAGAUCGGAAUGAUAAGCUCCGGACUAAUUCCGGAGACGUGCAGGAACAUCUCUGAGGACACCCACUUUGUGGAGUGAUGGUUUUUAACUUUCUAAUUUUCCUACGGCAAAGGCGGCUUCUUA
rnacentral:other from 1 species